rnacentral:rRNA from 1 species
GGACUACCCGGGUAUCUAAUCCCGUUUGCUCCCCUGGCUUUCGCGCCUCAGCGUCAGAAGAGGUCCAGCACGCCGCUUUCGCCACCGGCGUUCCUUCCGAUAUCUACGCAUUUCACCGCUCCACCGGAAGUUCCGCAUGCCCCUACCUCCCUCAAGACCACCAGUAUCCAGGGCAGUUUUCCGGUUGAGCCGAAAGAUUUCACCCCAGACUUGAUGAUCCGCCUACGCGCCCUUUAAGCCCAGUGAAUCCGAACAACGUUCGCACGGUUCGUCUUACCGCGGCUGCUGGCAC